UACGGAGGGUGCAAGCGUUAUCCGGAUUCACUGGGUUUAAAGGGUGCGUAGGAGGGCAGGUAAGUCAGUGGUGAAAUCUCCAAGCUUAACUUGGAAGCUGCCGUUGAUACUAUCUGUCUUGAAUACCGUGGAGAUGAGCGGAAUAUGUCAUGUAGCGGUGAAAUGCUUAGAUAUGACAUAGAACACCAAAUUGCGAAGGCAGCUCGUUACACGAAUAUUGACUCUGAGGCACGAAAGCGUGGGGAUCAAACAGG
rnacentral:rRNA from 1 species